rnacentral:rRNA from 1 species
CCUACGGGUGGCAGCAGUGAGGAAUAUUGGUCAAUGGACGAGAGUCUGAACCAGCCAAGUAGCGUGAAGGAUGACUGCCCUAUGGGUUGUAAACUUCUUUUAUAUGGGAAUAAAACGUUCCACGUGUGGGAUUUUGUAUGUACCAUAUGAAUAAGGAUCGGCUAACUCCGUGCCAGCAGCCGCGGUAAUACGGAGGAUCCGAGCGUUAUCCGGAUUUAUUGGGUUUAAAGGGAGCGUAGGUGGAUUGUUAAGUCAGUUGUGAAAGUCUGCGGCUCAACCGUAAAAUUGCAGUUGAAACUGGCAGUCUUGAGUACAGUAGAGGUGGGCGGAAUUCGUGGUGUAGCGGUGAAAUGCUUAGAUAUCACGAAGAACUCCGAUUGCGAAGGCAGUUCACUGGACUGCAACUGACACUGAGGCGCGAAAGUGUGGGUAUCAAACAGGAUUAGAUACCCUUGUAGUC